GUGGUUUUGAUAAACUAAUUGAUUCUUCUGAGAGAUUUUCCAAGCCAAUUGCUGAUAAUCUCUGAAUUUCAUCACUUGAUGUUUUCAUUAGCAGCUCUGUAAAUAACAAUGUGAAGUUGUAGUUUCUUGCUAGAGAUAGGAUUUCGGGCUCAUACAGUGUUGUUGUGAAUCUGACUAGAAUGGCCACUAGACCUUCUAAGUAAGCACUUGCAUACCUGCUUUUUCUUGUUCCAGUCAUCUGGAUUUGAUUGAUUGUCUGUACGACUGUGGGGACUGUAUUGUUUCUGAGAAGAGCCAGAUUGAGUGUUAGGUUCUGGUGGGGCAGUUUAGCUAGAAACUUUGCUGAAACUGCCUGCCUUUCUG
rnacentral:misc_RNA from 1 species